UACGUAGGAGGCGAGCGUUGUCCGGAAUUACUGGGCGUAAAGAGCGCGUAGGCGGCGCUGUACGACCCGUGUGAAAGCCCCCGGCUCAACUGGGGAGGGUCACGGGUAACGGCAGUGCUCUGAGUGCAGGAGAGGGAAGUGGAACUCCGAGUGUAGAGGUGAAAUUCGUAGAUAUUCGGAAGAACACCAGUGGCGAAGGCGACUCACUGGCCCGUUACUGACGCUGAUGCGCGAAAGCGUGGGGAGCAAACAGG
rnacentral:rRNA from 1 species